AAACUCACUGCAGACAACAUCAGCUAGUUUCUGCUGCUGAUUUAAACCUUGUUGCACACAUGGAACAUUGGCUGUGGAUUGUUCUUGCUGCUCUUUUCUUUGAGUGUAAAGGAGAAGAAGUGAUUCAGCCACCAGGAGAUGUCAUUGCUGCUGAAGGAGACACAGUUACCCUGAAUUGUACUUUUGUGACCAGUGACAGAAGUCCAUAUUUGUUCUGGUACAAACAAAAAGUAAAUGGUUACCCUAAGUACAUGAUGAAGAAAUUAGGCUCUGAACCACCAUAUAAAGCUCCAGAGUUCCAGGAAGACAGAUUUCAUACAGAAAUCCAGGAUAAGUCAGUUCCUCUGAAGAUCCAGAAGCUUCAGCUGUCUGACUCUGCUGUGUACUACUGUGCUCUGAGGCCCACAGUGACAGGAAACAGCAAAACUCUGUACAAGAACCUUUGGAGCAAAGACGACAGAAAACUCCACAACAUCCACUAGAGGGAGACACACUCU